rnacentral:lncRNA from 1 species
UCAAUUUAAAUUCUGCAGGGGAUCUUUCUCACCUGCCGAUAAUCAGUCACUUGGACUGUUUGUCAGUACCUGUCAUUUCCUCCUCUUCUGCUUCUGGCAGGCAUUGUUUUAUGGAGUCAUUGAAUCCUGGUUGCUAUGGAGAUUUCCCCACCAUUCCAAAAGCAAACAAGCUGCCAUGUAUUUAAAGCAAUAAAACAUCAUCACAUUUAACUGGAACAAAUAAGUCUGGUAUAAAAUUUUGGUACAAAUUUACCAAGCUGCCUAGUGUCUAUCUUUUAGAACUUUAAGCACACUGCUGUGCUGGUAUUCUUUUAUUUAUUUAGGAAUGCUUCUAGCAUAGUGCCAUAUCUUUGAAAUGUUGGGAGGAAUCUGAGAAGUCUAAGAAAAAGGUGCAUCAAUGAAGAUACAGCAUCAAGGGGAUGUUGGUUUUAUUUUUUGAAGUUGAUGGAAUCAUGCAAGCUGAGUUUUACCAAGGAACAGAAGGAAUCUUGGAGACGGGUAGAAUCAAUCAUAACUUCUCUAAGUUGAAACUGAAUUUUGCGCAUAGCAGGGAUUAACAUAUACAUUUUCUGUGCUCACUUCUAUGGAAGUAAAGAAAGAAGAAAAUCAUGGAGGCUAUGGAAUUCUGAGGAGAUAUUUCUUCUAAAAAAGUAGAUUCAAUUCUGUUUUUUCCUGGUAUGUGCUACUUGUAUUAAAAUUAUCUGUCAAAUAUUUUUCUUUGGAGGCAAUUUGUUUUUUUCUCCUCUGUAUAGCCUUCAAAAU